rnacentral:lncRNA from 1 species
AAAUGGCAUGUUCCUAAAUGUCUCUCAUGGUGGGCUCUCCAGCCAGAGGAAGGGACCCCCACCCCCCAGACGAGAGUCUGAGCAGUAACACAUCUGAGCCUGGGACAUCUUCCAGAGUAUAGCAUGAGACACCUGCCAGUCUACACUAUGGUGGGAAAUCUCCAUGUGGAAAAUGGAGAGACAGAGCAGCUGAGGAGGGCUGAAAUCCAGGCAGUGUUAAUCAACUCCUUCUGCACAAAGUCAGUGGUUCUGCCUGUCCCCACUCCUGAAGUGCUGGCCUGGCUGCACAGCUGCUCAGAGCCCACAGGAGGCACCUGGAAGAGGGUGACUCUAGACUCCUUGUUUCUGAAAUAGGUUCUCAGUAGGCAGCCCCAGCUGUUCUGAAACUCCAUAUAUAGGCCAGGCCAGUCUCAAACCUGCCCCUGUCCCCUGAAUGCUGAGCGUAAAGACGUGUGCCAUCGAGUCUGGCUUGACUUCAAGACUUAUCAAGACUUACCAAAUGUUGAAUCAAGGUUAACUUUGGGUCCGUCUGUCUGCCUGGAGAUGGUACCAGGGUAAGUGGAUCAACAAGAACCCACAAUGUAACUGCACAGAGUUCAGGUCUCUGCCUCUCAACGAAGACGAUAAAUCUAAGGGAAGUGACAAAGGAAGGGAGAGACUUAUUAACAGGCGGUGUGUUGGAAACCGGCUGACAGAGCAAGUAAGAAAAGAGACAAAAGGUGAGUUUCCAUGCCUUGGGAAAAGAGGAACUUCAAGGGACCUGACCAAGCAAACCGUCAACAGUGUAGGGCCAACCCAGAGCCCAGGAUCCUGUGAACCUACAACUUUCUCCUUCUUCACAGACUGCUGAAAUCAGUAUUGGAAGCGGAUUCUGCUGAGACCUUGGCGGCAAGUGCUCUACCACUGAAUGUACCCUCAGCGCCAUACAAGGAAGGGAGAAAGCCUACACCAUGGCAGACUAAUAUGGCUGCACUGGGCUAGGACGUGGCAGUCAACGACAAUGCCAACAUUGUGUUGUGGUAA